GUCUCUUCGGAGACAUGAGAUAAAAUUGGAACGAUACAAAGAAUAUUAGCAUGGCCUCUGCCCCAGGAUGACAUGCGCAAAUUAAUAAAUGGUCCAAUUUUUU
rfam:Picea glauca, whole genome shotgun sequence.